CCCUUAGAUGUUCUGGGCCGCACGCGUGCUACACUGAUGCAUUCAACGAGUCUAAAACCUGGUCUGAUAGGGCUGGGUAAUCUUUUGAAAGUGCAUCGUGAUUGGGAUAGAUGAUUGCAAUUCUUCAUCUUCAACGAGGAAUGCCUAGUAAACGCAAGUCAUCAGCUUGCAUUGAUUACGUCCCUGCCCUUUGUACACACCGCCCGUCGCUCCUACCGAUUGAAUGAUCCGAUGAAUACCAUGGAUUGAGAGUACGAAUAGGUUCGCUUAUUUCUGCUUCUCGAGAAGCGGAGUAAAUCUUAUCAUUUAGAGGAAGGAGAAGUCGUAACA
rnacentral:rRNA from 1 species